rnacentral:tRNA from 1 species
CGGGGUUUAGUUCAGUUGGCUAGAACGCGCGCUUUGGGAGCGCGAGGCCGUCAGUUCGAGUCUGACAACCCCGACCA